CACCUAUGUGACUUGAAUGAUUUACUUAAGCUCUCUGAUCCUCUGGAGACUGUGGUAAUAAUGAUGAAACGAAAUUGUGUAUGCCAAAUACAUUGUAUAGAUCAUGGUAAAGAAUGUUUUGGGAUCACUUUAACCAGGAAAAAGUGUGUAUAGGGAAGAAAGCGAGAAAGGCCUUGGAUUUCAUCACUCCUCAGAGAAGUCGCAGUGAAGGAAUGUACCUUUUUUUUUUUUAAGAAUUUAUUUAUGUAUUUAUCUAACUCAAAAUGGAUGAAAGAACUAAAUGU